rnacentral:rRNA from 1 species
CCUAUUGAAGAAUGAACCGACGAGUUACUGUUGCUAGCGAGGUUAAGUGGAAGACAUGGAGCCGCAGCGAAAGCGAGUCUGAACAGGGCGUUCAGUUAGUAAUAGUAGACCCGAAACCGUAGUGAUCUAUCCAUGGCCAGGUUGAAGCACAGGUAAAAUUGUGUGGAGGACCGAACUCGUGAGCGUUGAAAAGCUUUGGGAUGAGUUGUGGAUAGGGGUGAAAUGCCAAUCGAACACGGAGAUAGCUGGUUCUCCCCGAAAUAGCUUUAGGGCUAGCCUCGAGGUAGAGAGUAUAGGCGGUAGAGCACUGAUCGGGCUAGGGGCCAUACCGGUUACCGAACCUAGUCAAACUACGAAUGGCUAUACUUAUACUCGGGAGUCAGACAGUGAAUGAUAAGGUCCAUUGUCAAGAGGGAAACAGCCCAGAACACCGACUAAGGUCCCCAAUGUUACACUAAGUGGCGAAGGAUGUGGAAUUUCCAAAACAACCAGGAUGUUGGCUUAGAAGCAGCCACCAUUUAAAGAGUGCGUAAUAGCUCACUGGUCGAGAGACCCUGCGCCGAAGAUUACCGGGGCUAAAGUACGAAACCGAAGCUGUGGCUACGACGUAAGUCGUGGGGUAGGGGAGCGUUCUGUGAGGGCUGAAGUCGUUCUGUAAGGAACGGUGGACUUCACAGAAGUGAGAAUGUUGGUAUGAGUAGCGAAAAGAAUGGUGAGAAUCCAUUCCACCGAAAGCAUAAGGAUUCCUGGGCAACGAUCGUCGUCCCAGGGUAAGUCGGGACCUAAUCCGAGGCAUGGAGCGUAGGAGAUGGACAACUGGCAGAUAUUCCAGUACCGGUAAUGAUUGUUUGAGCGAUGGAGUGACACAGGAGGGCAGGCAGGCAGGAGAUUGGUUGUUCCUGUACAAGCGUGUAGGGUGGAACGUAGGCAAAUCCGCGUUCUGUGAGCCUGAGGCGUGAUGUGGAGGUUCCGGAAACGGAACUGAAGCUGCUGACCCCACACUGUCGAGAAAAGCUUCUAGUUAGAGAAUUACCGCCCGUACCGUAAACCGACACAGGUAUGCGGGGAGAGAAUCCUAAGGUGCGCGGGAGAACCCUCGUUAAGGAACUCGGCAAAAUGUACCCGUAACUUCGGGAUAAGGGUAGCCGCUGUUGUGAAGUCUGAACAGAUGGAGCAUGAGGCGGUCGCAGAGAAGAGGCCCAAGCGACUGUUUACCACAAACACAGGUGCCUGCUAAAGAGAAAUCUGACGUAUAGGUGCUGACACCUGCCCAGUGCCGGAAGGUUAAGGAAGGAUGUCCGGAGCAAUCCAAAGCAUUCGACCGAAGCCCCGGUGAACGGCGGCCGUAACUAUAACGGUCCUAAGGUAGCGAAAUUCCUUGUCGGGUAAGUUCCGACCCGCACGAAAGGCGUAACGAUUUGGGCACUGUCUCAACGAGGGACCCGGUGAAAUUGAAGUACCUGUGAAGAUGCAGGUUACCCGCGACUGGACAGAAAGACCCCAUGGAGCUUUACUGCAACCUAAGAUUGAACUUAGUUAAUGAAUGUACAGGAUAGGUGGGAGACGGAGAACCUAGGACGCCAGUUUUAGGGGAGUCGCUGUUGGGAUACCACCCUUUCAUUAAUUGAUUUCUAACGGGCCGAGUAACGACCGGCCGGACAGUCUUAGGCGGGCAGUUUGACUGGGGCGGUCGCCUCCAAAAGAGUAACGGAGGCGCCCAAAGGUUCCCUCAGAGCGGACGGAAAUCGCUCGAAGAGUGUAAAGGCAGAAGGGAGCUUGACUGCGAGACGGACAGGUCGAGCAGGGACGAAAGUCGGGCUUAGUGAUCCGGUGGUACCGAGUGGAAGGGCCAUCGCUCAACGGAUAAAAGCUACCCUGGGGAUAACAGGCUAAUCUCUCCCAAGAGUCCAUAUCGACGGGGAGGUUUGGCACCUCGAUGUCGGCUCAUCACAUCCUGGGGCUGAAGUAGGUCCCAAGG